rnacentral:rRNA from 1 species
GAUGAACGCUGGCGGCGUGCCUAAUACAUGCAAGUCGAGCGAACGGACGAGAAGCUUGCUUCUCUGAUGUUAGCGGCGGACGGGUGAGUAACACGUGGAUAACCUACCUAUAAGACUGGGAUAACUUCGGGAAACCGGAGCUAAUACCGGAUAAUAUUUUGAACCGCAUGGUUCAAAAGUGAAAGACGGUCUUGCUGUCACUUAUAGAUGGAUCCGCGCUGCAUUAGCUAGUUGGUAAGGUAACGGCUUACCAAGGCAACGAUGCAUAGCCGACCUGAGAGGGUGAUCGGCCACACUGGAACUGAGAGACGGUCCAGACUCCUACGGGAGGCAGCAGUAGGGAAUCUUCGGCAAUGGGCGAAAGCCUGACGGAGCAACGCCGCGUGAGUGAUGAAGGUCUUCGGAUCGUAAAACUCUGUUAUUAGGGAAGAACAUAUGUGUAAGUAACUGUGCACAUCUUGACGGUACCUAAUCAGAAAGCCACGGCUAACUACGUG